rnacentral:lncRNA from 1 species
AAUCUUCAUUGAUCAAAAUAGGAACAUUUUAAUACAGUCAUGCCCAAAAUGAAAAUAAAUACAAUGUUCCUCAAUCAAGAUUUAAAGAUACAUGAUAAAAAAGAAAACAAGAUACAUAUGAGAACUAGAUAUCUAGCCUAGGCUCUAAACAUAGAUGCUAAGAUCAGCCUAGGGAGAAUCUAAUGGCUGGGAUCUAGUCCUCAUCCUCCUAGCAUACGUGGCGAGGGGAGGUCGAGCCUGGUGAGACUGUGUCUGGCGUGGAGCACGACGAGCUGGAUGACUCUGUGCCGAUAUCUCUGACUCAGCAGCCUGUGGCACAGAUGGUCCAUGGGUCUCUCUCUCUCUCCGGAGUGCUCCUAUCUGCU